rnacentral:misc_RNA from 1 species
GGCUUCCUCCUCCCUGCGCCCGCAACUUUUGCCGGCGAUGGAAGGAGCCGGAUCCCACAUGCGCGCCUUCCAUCCUCGCGAGGACGCAAAAUCUGUGCCAAAUCCGCGCCGCGCGGCUUCCUCCUCCCCGCGCACGCAACAUUUGUCGCCGAUGGAAGGAGCCGGAUCCCACAGGCGCGCAUUCCAUCCUCGCGAGGACGAGCGUCCAUCCCGCAGCCGCCAAAUCCGAGCCAAAUCCGCCCCAAAUUCGUCGCCUCCCUUCGGCACCGAGAGGGGAACGCUCUUCAAUCUCAUCCAUCGCCGCCUCCCUUUCCUUCAACGGUGCCGGAGAUGGAGUCCGCGCCAAAUCCGCCAUUCAAUCUUCACCGUCUCCCUUCCUUACGCCGCGAGGUGAACGGGAUCCCCUACCAUCGAGAAACCCCUACCCAUCCUCCAUACACGCCACCAUAAACCAUAUAUAUCAAGGCCACCAAACUGGAGUUCCUCUCCUUGCGGCAAAUCCUCCACGCGUUUGUAAGUUCUGGGAGUGAAUCAAGCGCAACAAGGAUUGCGAGCUGCUGGUGGGUACUGGACGACGCAACAAGGCACUGGUCGGCGCAACAAGUGACGCCCAGACUGGAGUUCCUCUCCUUCCAAGCCAGGAUUGUGGUCGGCGCAACAAGGCACUGGUCGGCGCUACUAAUAUGGUUAUUCUUCACUGCGACGGCAACGCCAACAGCGAACUUGGAGGUGUUGCGGCUCUGCACACCCCUUGUUCUUCUAGCAGUUGAACUUUGCUAAUUGAAGCUGCAAAAUUAACUUCGACAGCAACAAGGCUAGAAGGUUUUGAUGGAACCGGUCGUAUUGAACCGAGAAAGAGACGCAGCGGACCGCAUAAAACGGAUGCCUAUGUUGUUCGACGACCACCAUGAUGAAGAUUUUUAUGGGCUACCUCGGAAAUACAGUAUUGUCGCUCGGGUAGAAGUUAAAUUCCCGAUUGAACCACGUUAUCAUGAUAGACAACAUUUCAUUUUAUCUGACAUCAAUGGAGCCAAGAUCGAAGCCAUAACAUAUGUGUCCGUGACAGUUAAACAUUUCAACAAUUUGCUCCAUGAAAAGCAUGUUUACAAUAUGCAUAACGUAAAGUUUGGUCUUCAUCCGGGUGAAUUUAAUUUUCGACAUCUAAAUGGUCCCAUGGAAUUGUAUUUCAACCAACAAACUAUCGUGGAGCCAUACACAUUUCCAAUUCAAAUGCCGCCAUUCCCAAAACAUAUAUUCUUCAACCUUGAUGAUAUUGCUGAGUUGCCAAACAGGAGUUUAGUCGACAUUAUGGCUAUUGUAGUCCACAUGGAUACAAUUCAUCGCACAAUGUGGGGCCCUUUCAGAAAGAUUGUUAUAAUGGAUGCUAGGGGGUCUUUACAUAUCAUUAAAGUUUGGGGUGACCUACUAAACAAAAAUGCACUCCGUUGGGCGUUGGCUAAGGAGGAUUAUGGCAUAAUAAUUGGGACUAUGUUUAGGCGGUUCAGAAAACAAGAGUUCCUCGAGUCUUCGGAUCAUACCGCAAUACACUUCAAUCCAUUCCAUCACAACACCCACUAUUUUGGACCAAUUCAAAAAGCUUUGGUGGCGCGGAACAACCGUC